UAGUAAGUGACUAUAUAAUAUACAUACGUGUAGUAAACCGAUCAUUUAUGAAAUUCACUUAAAUUGACUAAUUACAUAUAUUUUCUUGCAUAUUUGCUUUUAUUUACUACUUGUCAGAAGUUUUUUGCGCUUCCUCGAUGCUGUGAGUAUCUUUGAUUGGGCAGUUCCAAAUCCUGUUUGAAAUUGACGUUUAGGACGUUGAAAUAAAACCAGAGAUAUAGAGGGGAAAGUCGCUUCCAUAUCUCUUCCAUACUUCAAUACUGGAACAUAAAUCUUCUCAUUGGUUAUAUGGGAAGGAUGCAGUGUAUUCUUUUAUAUGUAUAUGUCCUCUAUGGUUAAAACUCAUUUUAUUCACAAUUAAAACUAUUAAAUAUUCUGUCAAAUAGUGACAGAUGUGGAGCAAGUCAAGACAAUCAUUUGACUAUAUUUUAGUAGUUAGAUGUCAUAGUCUGUCGAAAUAUAAAGAAUUAUUGUCGAUUAUAGUAAUAAGUCCGCUAUUAUACAACACAAACUCUACUCUUCUAUUCGCCUGUUAACACUGUGUUGGUAAUAAUUGUGAUUCGACAACGAAAUCAAGCUAAAAAUACGUCAAAAAUGAUCGUAUGGGGCAGCCUUUAGUUACUUUUUUAAUGCUCUAAGAUAUAAUGAAAACGACGUGAUAAGAGGCGUAGAAAUAUCUGUAUAGUUUGGACUUUCGCUGGUGUUCUUGACAGUUUUUUUACAUAAUUUCUAGGCCUAAUGUGACGGCUUUUUUUAAGUAUACUGUUACUGUCGGGUAUUUUUAUUUAAGAAAA